rnacentral:lncRNA from 1 species
GAACACUUCAUAUAAGUUGAAUCAUAUAAUAUGUGUCCCUUGGUCUUUUGUAUCUGACUUCUUUCACUUAGCACAAUAUUUUUGAGUUUUAUUCAUUUCAUAUAACUUGUCAGCAGUUCAUUUCCUUUUUACUGCUGAAUGAAUCUUCCAUUGAAUGGAUAUACCACAAUUUGAUUAUCCAUUCACCAGAUGACAGACAUUUAGUUUGUUUCCAGUUUGGGGAUAUUAUGAACAUAUACCCAUUUUUCAGAUGAAGAUGCUGUUAUUCUUAGAGGCUAACUCCCCCAAGAUCGCACAGCUGGGCAAUGUCAGAGCCAGGGUUUGGGUCCAAGCUUACCUGACUUCAAAGCCCAACCCCUCUGUUUAUUGCUAAACAACAGAAUCAGGCGAUGAAUUUUUUUCCUUUAUGCUUUUGUUUUUAUACAACCUACAAUGUAUAUUUUCUAAUUUUAAACUUUAAAAAAAGUCUUGAAGUAUCUUUAAAUUGUGACCAACAAAGCUGUGAUGUGUUACCUCUGCUAGGCGUAGUUGUGUUUUAUGGACAAAGCAUUAGCUUUAUUCCUUCAGUAAACCUGUCCAGUUUAGCUUAGGAUCAACCAAGGAUGGGACCAUGGCAGCAGGCUACCCCAGAAAUGCCUUGAAGGUUCCCCUCCAGCACUUGCUGCUGUCCCCUGGAUUCUGUGUUCUCAGCAGUGCUGUGGAGUUGCUGCAGGAUCUCCGGGAUCACGGAUAUCAGGAGCUUCUAUUUGAAGCUGAACACUGAAGAUGGGGCCCAAACCAGCUGAGUGACAGUAGUAAAACAUCCCUUAAUAAAAAUGUUUUCUAACCAGUCUAACCUUUCUCAAGUCAGACAGUAGUGGAAUAAAUCCUGAUAUUUUCACUUGUCCUUUUGUCUUUCAAUGCUCGGGCUUGAUUUACUGGCUAGAGGCAUUUUCCUGUAUGUCUAUAAUGCAUUUACUCUCUGUAUGUUUUAUGUCACAAAAAUGUGGAUUUUAAUUAAAUUUAAAAAUGCAGAUCAUCGGGAUAUGGUAGCCAGCCUCCGAGAUGGUGCCCCCUCCAGACAUUCACACCCCUGAGUAGUCCCUUACCACAGUAUACCAGGGUUGAUCUUGUGUGAACAACAGAACACACGAAAGUGUUGUUACUGCUGAGACUAGGUUAUAAAAGACUUUUCUCCUCUAUGUUAGUCUCUCCCUCUAUCUCUUUCUCUCUCGGAUCACUUGUUCUGAGGGAAGCCAUGUCACAAGCCAUCUUGCAGACAGGCUUGUGUGGUGAAGAACUGAAGCCUCUUGCCAACAGCCACGUGAGUGAGUUUGGAAGAGGAUCCUCCAGCCCCAGUCAAGUCUUCAGAGGCUGCAGCCCCAGCUGCCCUCUCCCUACGAACUCACUGGAGAUCCUGAGUCAAAACCAACCAGCUCACUUGCUCCAGAUGCCUGGCCCUCAGAAACUGUAUAUACGCAAAGGACUUAAAAGCAGGAACUCCAGCAGGUAUUUGUACACCCAUGUUCAUAGCGGCAUUAUUCACAAUAGCCAAA